UCAAAAACAUCGCCUCUUGCAUAGAAAUAAGAGGUCCAGCCUGCCCCAGUGACCACCACAGUUCAACGGCCGCGGUAUCCUAACCGUGCGAAGGUAGCGUAAUCACUUGUUCUCUAAAUAAGGACUAGUAUGAAUGGCAUCACGAGGGUUACACUGUCUCCUUUUUCUAAUCAGUAAAACUAUUCUCCCCGUGAAGAAACGGGGAUGUUUAUAUAAGACGAGAAGACCCUAUGGAGCUUUAAAUUUUUCUACAUAUUGCUCUUUCAUUUAAUUCGUCCCGACUUCUUAUUUUCAACCGAGCAUACUGAUAGCAAAUUUUUAGGUUGGGGUGACCGCGGAGCAUAAAAAAACCUCCGCACAGAACAGACUUUAAGCCUUGAGUUGAGAACCACAAUUCCAAACACUAAUAUAUUAACAUUCAUUGACCCAAUAUUUUUGAUCAACGAACCAAGUUACCCUAGGGAUAACAGCGCAAUCUACUUUAAGAGCCCUUAUCGACAAGUGGGUUUACGACCUCGAUGUUGGAUCAGGGUAUCCCAGUGGUGCAGCCGCU
rnacentral:rRNA from 1 species